UACAGAGGUCUCAAGCGUUGUUCGGAUUCAUUGGGCGUAAAGGGUGUGUAGGUGGCGCCGUAAGUCGGGUGUGAAAUCUCGGGGCUUAACUCCGAAACUGCAUUCGAUACUGCGGUGCUUGAGGACUGGAGAGGAGACUGGAAUUCAUGGUGUAGCAGUGAAAUGCGUAGAGAUGUGGAGGAACACCAGUGGCGAAGGCGACUCUUUGGCCUGUAACUGACGCUGAGGCGCGAAAGCGUGGGGAGCAAACAGG
rnacentral:rRNA from 1 species